CACGUAGGGGCCGAGCGUUGUCCGGAGUUACUGGGCGUAAAGGGCGCGCAGGCGGUCCGCCACAUCUUUGGUGAAAGCCCCGGGCUCAACCCGGGAGGGUCCAGGGAGAUGGGCGGACUGGAGGCAGGGCGAGGGCGGUGGAAUUCCGGGUGUAGUGGUGAAAUGCGUAGAGAUCCGGAGGAACACCAGUGGCGAAGGCGGCCGCCUGGACCUGACCUGACGCUGAGGCGCGAAGGCGUGGGGAGCGAACGGG
rnacentral:rRNA from 1 species